rnacentral:rRNA from 1 species
UACGUAGGGGGCAAGCGUUAUCCGGAUUUACUGGGUGUAAAGGGAGCGUAGACGGUCCUGCAAGCCAGAUGUGAAAGCCCGGGGCUCAACCCCGGGACUGCAUUUGGAACUGUAAGGCUAGAGUGUCGGAGAGGCAGGCGGAAUUCCUAGUGUAGCGGUGAAAUGCGUAGAUAUUAGGAGGAACACCAGUGGCGAAGGCGGCCUGCUGGACGAUGACUGACGUUGAGGCUCGAAAGCGUGGGGAGCAA